CCAGCGGGGAGCUUGUGAAACAGGCUGAGAGGAAGGAAAAACCUUCGACCCAUACACCUGAUUUGGAUAAUGCCAACGUAGGGACGCC
rnacentral:ncRNA from 1 species